UGCAGUCGAACGGCAGCAUGAUCUAGCUUGCUAGAUUGAUGGCGAGUGGCGAACGGGUGAGUAAUACAUCGGAACGUGCCCUGUAGUGGGGGAUAACUAGUCGAAAGAUUAGCUAAUACCGCAUACGACCUGAGGGUGAAAGUGGGGGACCGCAAGGCCUCAUGCUAUAGGAGCGGCCGAUGUCUGAUUAGCUAGUUGGUGGGGUAAAGGCCCACCAAGGCGACGAUCAGUAGCUGGUCUGAGAGGACGAUCAGCCACACUGGGACUGAGACACGGCCCAGACUCCUACGGGAGGCAGCAGUGGGGAAUUUUGGACAAUGGGCGAAAGCCUGAUCCAGCAAUGCCGCGUGUGUGAAGAAGGCCUUCGGGUUGUAAAGCACUUUUGUCCGGAAAGAAAUGGCUCUGGUUAAUACCUGGGGUCGAUGACGGUACCGGAAGAAUAAGGACCGGCUAACUACGUGCCAGCAGCCGCGGUAAUACGUAGGGUCCAAGCGUUAAUCGGAAUUACUGGGCGUAAAGCGUGCGCAGGCGGUUGUGCAAGACCGAUGUGAAAUCCCCGAGCUUAACUUGGGAAUUGCAUUGGUGACUGCACGGCUAGAGUGUGUCAGAGGGGGGUAGAAUUCCACGUGUAGCAGUGAAAUGCGUAGAGAUGUGGAGGAAUACCGAUGGCGAAGGCAGCCCCCUGGGAUAACACUGACGCUCAUGCACGAAAGCGUGGGGAGCAAACAGGAUUAGAUACCCUGGUAGUCCACGCCCUAAACGAUGUCAACU
rnacentral:rRNA from 1 species